rnacentral:misc_RNA from 1 species
UUUCCGUAGGUGAACCUGCGGAAGGAUCAUUAUCAAACAGCGGACUUCGGUCCGACCUCCAACCCUUUGUGAAUCGUACUCGUUGCUUCGGGGGCGACCCUGCCGUCCGCGGCUGAGCGCCCCCGGGGUCAAUCAAACACUGUAUUCUCUGCGUCGGAGUAUUAGUAAAUCUAAUCAAAACUUUCAACAACGGAUCUCUUGGUUCUGGCAUCGAUGAAGAACGCAGC